UAGUAACUGCGAGUGAAGCGGGAAAAGCUCAAAUUUGAAAUCUGGCAGUCUUUGAUCGUCCGAGUUGUAAUCUAGAGAAGUGUUACCCGCGUUGGACCGUGUANAAGUCUCCUGGAAUGGAGCGUCAUAGAGGGUGAGAAUCCCGUCUUUGACACGGACUACCAAGGCUUUGUGGUANGCUCUCAAAGAGUCGAGUUGUUUGGGAAUGCAGCUCAAAAUGGGUGGUAAAUGCCAUCUAAAGCUAAAUACAGGCGAGAGACCNAUAGCGAACAAGUACCGUGAGGGAAAGAUGAAAAGAACUUUGGAAAGAGAGUUAAACAGUACGUGAAAUUGCUGAAAGGGAAACGCUUGAAGUCAGUCGCGUUGNCUAGAGAUCAACCUUGCUUUUGCUGGGUGUACUCUCUAGUCGACGGGUCAGCAUCAGUUUUGAUCAGUGGAUAAAGGCAUAAGAAAUGUGGCUCCUUUGGGAGUGUUAUAGUCUUCUGUCGUAUACACUGGUUGGGACUGAGGAACUCAGCACGCCGCAAGGCCGGGGUUCGCCCACGUACGUGCUUAGGAUGCUGGCAAAAUGGCUUUAAUCGACCCGUCUUGAAACACGGGACCAAGGAGUCUAACAUGCCUGCGAGUGUUUGGGUGGAAAACCCGAGCGCGUAAUGAAAGUGAAAGUUGAGAUCCCUGUCGUGGGGAGCAUCGACGCCCAGACCAGACCUUUUGUGACGGAUCUGCGGUAGAGCAUGUAUGUUGGGACCCGAAAGAUGGUGAACUAUGCCUGAAUAGGGUGAAGCCAGAGGAAACUCUGGUGGAGGCUCGUAGCGAUUCUGACGUGCAAAUCGAUCGUCAAAUUUGGGUAUAGGGGCGAAAGACUAAUCGAACC
rnacentral:rRNA from 1 species